GGAGCUUGCGCUUGGACAUGGCGGAAGACUUGCCGAGGUUGAAGAAAGAACGCCAACUACCCACAGGAGACUUCUUGGAUUUAAUAGGAGGCCUCUUCCUAUGAAUAAUUAAAGGAUAUAUGCCCAAGUCUGAAACUGGAGACAGCCACAGUCCUGUGAGAUAGCGACAACAGGGUUCAGGAGGAAAACAAAUGCCUGCAGUCUUAACAGCAACCACCAGGGCGGCCGGACCUUCGCCCACUUCAAUGUAUUUGCUGUCCUCAGUGACUGGAGAGUUGAUCUGAGCCUGGGUCCUGGCCUGGGCCUCCUCCAGACUCAGAAGUUUAGUGGAGGG